rnacentral:rRNA from 1 species
GACGAACGCUGGCGGCGUGCCUAAUACAUGCAAGUCGAGCGAAUCAAAGGGAGCUUGCUCCCAGAGAUUAGCGGCGGACGGGUGAGUAACACGUGGGCAACCUGCCCUGUAGACUGGGAUAACACCGAGAAAUCGGUGCUAAUACCGGAUAACACCUUUCUUCUCAUGGAGGAAGGUUAAAAGUUGGGAUUACUAACACUACAGGAUGGGCCCGCGGCGCAUUAGCUAGUUGGUAAGGUAAUGGCUUACCAAGGCGACGAUGCGUAGCCGACCUGAGAGGGUGAUCGGCCACACUGGGACUGGAACACGGCCCAGACUCCUACGGGAGGCAGCAGUAGGGAAUCUUCCGCAAUGGACGAAAGUCUGACGGAGCAACGCCGCGUGAGUGAUGAAGGUUUUCGGAUCGUAAAGCUCUGUUGUUAGGGAAGAACAAGUGCCGUUCGAAUAGGUCGGCACCUUGACGGUACCUAACCAGAAAGCCACGGCUAACUACGUGCCAGCCGCCGCGGUAAUAC